AUUGAACGCUGGCGGCAGGCCUAACACAUGCAAGUCGAACGAGGGGGGGACGGGUGAGUAAGACCUAGGACUCUGCCAGGUAGUGGGGGAUAAGGACAGGAAAAGGGAGCUAAUACCGCAUACUAUCAGCUUAGCCUAGGUGGGAUUAGCUAGGUGGUGGGGUAACGGCUCACCUAGGCGACGAGCCCUAGCUGGUCUGAGAGGAUGAGCAGCCACACUGGAACUGAGACACGGUCCAGACUCCUACGGGAGGCAGCAGUGGGGAAUAGUGCACAAUGGGCGCAAGCCUGAUGCAGCCAUGCCGCGUGUAUGAAGAAGGCCUUCGGGUUGUAAAGUACUUUCAGCGAGGAGGCGUUACUCGCAGAAGAAGCACCGGCUAACUCCGUGCCAGCAGCCGCGGUAAUUC
rnacentral:rRNA from 1 species